rnacentral:lncRNA from 1 species
CACGUCCCUUUUUACUAUCUUUUUCUUUCCUUUUUCUCUUAGUCAAAUUUUUAAAUCCCUAAAAUAAAUUAGAUACAACUACUCUCUCUCUUCGCCCUCGGUGGAUUCGUCAAAGAGCGCAAUAUCUUCCCAUUGGUCUCUACUUUUAGUUUCUCAGGUAUGCAACUACGUUGUCUCUCUUCUUGCUCUGUAUUUUAAUUUACUUGUUGAACUUUCUUCUCGUCUUGCAAUUUCCCGAAUUCUCUUUUCCCUCUCUGUUCAAUGUUUGAAUCUCUUGCCAAGAUUUUGUCUUGUUGUUGGUGAUUAUUAUUGUUUAUUUCUAAGAUUGGGCUGUUGAAUGCUAUUUCUUGGAAGAAUUUGGGAGAGCUAUGGCUUCAAAGUCUUAAAUAUUGGCAGUAUUGAUUUGCCCACAUAUUGUAUUUGAAAAAAUGCUUGAUCGAGUUUUAUUAAGUAGGGGCCAUGUGAACUUAAUUUCUGACUAAGUAUUAGUAUUUUGGGCCAAGAUAAUAUAAGAUUGAACUCUGCUAGGAACUAGAAUUUGAACUUCUGCUAAGAAUUCUCUAAAAAUGAAGUAAUUACUAACAAUCAAAGAAAGAAUCAUACUAUGAAGCCAAUGAAUGAGAAAAUUGAUCUAAUGUAGUAAUCGGUUCAUUUGUGUACCUUAAAUUCAAUUACUCUAUGAUUUGAAUCAUACUUUUCUAUUUGAAUUAAGAUAAAUUGAAUAAAAGUGUAAAUGUUUAACUUUGUAGGAACGAUAAUCCUUAACAUUGAAAUGGAUAGAUUUCUCACCAAGCCGAAAAAUAGUGAGCCAAGUUCUAGUACUACUCGGUCAUCCGUGGGUUCUUAAAUAGUUCCGAAAGUUCAAAGGAUGACAAAUGCUUCACUACUUUCAAAUAGUGAACCCAUAGUAUUAAAAUCCUGGAUACGCCUCUGUUGCAGCUCUAGCUCUGGGGCUCUUUCCAUUUGCAUUCUGAACAGCGCACAUUGGUUCCUCGUCACAGCACAUAGGGUCUCUUUUAGUACCCUGCCAAUGUAAUAGAUGUUUCCAUAUUUCAUAUUUGUGUAGAAGUAUCACACUUAAAGAACGCCUGUUUUAUACUUUAUUCUCCAGAUUACGCAAAGGCCAGGUUUGGUAUGUUACCACUCCCAAUGGGG